AGAGAGCUUGCUCUCGGGUGACGAGUGGCGGACGGGUGAGUAAUGUCUGGGAAACUGCCUGAUGGAGGGGGAUAACUACUGGAAACGKUAGCUAAUACCGCAUAACGUCGCAAGACCAAAGAGGGGGACCUUCGGGCCUCUUGCCAUCAGAUGUGCCCAGAUGGGAUUAGCUAGUAGGUGGGGUAACGGCUCACCUAGGCGACGAUCCCUAGCUGGUCUGAGAGGAUGACCAGCCACACUGGAACUGAGACACGGUCCAGACUCCUACGGGAGGCAGCAGUGGGGAAUAUUGCACAAUGGGCGCAAGCCUGAUGCAGCCAUGCCGCGUGUAUGAAGAAGGCCUUCGGGUUGUAAAGUACUUUCAGCGGGGAGGAAGGYGAURAGGUUAAUAACCUYGUCRAUUGACGUUACCCGCAGAAGAAGCACCGGCUAACUCCGUGCCAGCAGCCGCGGUAAUACGGAGGGUGCAAGCGUUAAUCGGAAUUACUGGGCGUAAAGCGCACGCAGGCGGUCUGUCAAGUCGGAUGUGAAAUCCCCGGGCUCAACCUGGGAACUGCAUUCGAAACUGGCAGGCUAGAGUCUUGUAGAGGGGG
rnacentral:rRNA from 1 species